rnacentral:rRNA from 1 species
AUUGAACGCUGGCGGCAUGCCUUACACAUGCAAGUCGAACGGUAGAGGGGGCAACCCCUCGAGAGUGGCGAACGGGUGAGUAAUGCAUCGGAACGUGCCCAGUAGUGGGGGAUAGCCCGGCGAAAGCCGGAUUAAUACCGCAUGAGACCUACGGGUGAAAGGGGGGGAUCGCAAGACCUCUCGCUAUUGGAGCGGCCGAUGUCAGAUUAGGUAGUUGGUGGGGUAAAGGCCUACCAAGCCGACGAUCUGUAGCUGGUCUGAGAGGACGACCAGCCACACGGGGACUGGGACGCGGCCCAGACUCCUACGGGAGGAAGCAGUGGGGAAUUUGGGACAAUGGGCGAAAGCCUGAUCCAGCCAUGCCGCGUGCGGGAAGAAGGCCUUCGGGUUGUAAACCGCUUUUGUCAGGGAAGAAAUCCUUUGAGCUAAUACCUCGGGGGGAUGACGGUACCUGAAGAAUAAGCACCGGCUAACUACGUGCCAGCAGCCGCCGUAA